AGCGAACGCUGGCGGCAGGCCUAACACACGCAAGUCGAACGAACCCUUCGGGGUUAGUGGCGGACGGGUGAGUAACACGUGGGAACGUGCCUUUAGGUUCGGAAUAACUCAGGGAAACUUGUGCUAAUACCGAAUGUGCCCUUCGGGGGAAAGAUUUAUCGCCUUUAGAGCGGCCCGCGUCUGAUUAGCUAGUUGGUGAGGUAAAGGCUCACCAAGGCGACGAUCAGUAGCUGGUCUGAGAGGAUGAUCAGCCUCAUUGGGACUGAGACACGGCCCAAACUCCUACGGGAGGCAGCAGUGGGGAAUCUUGCGCAAUGGGCGAAAGCCUGACGCAGCCAUGCCGCGUGAAUGAUGAAGGUCUUAGGAUUGUAAAAUUCUUUCACCGGGGACGAUAAUGACGGUACCCGGAGAAGAAGCCCCGGCUAACUUCGUGCCAGCAGCCGCAGUAAAAC
rnacentral:rRNA from 1 species